UGGAGGAAGCAACCCUGCACAGAGGGAAAGAAGAAUCUCAACAUACAGUCCUCAGCAGCUUUAGCAUGGGCAACAAAUUAAGUCUCUGUAAAAGGCCCAAAGGACAGGGUUUGGUGAGAUUCUGGAGAGCUGGAAACAUGGAGGUUGACAGGAAUGUAAAGAAGAACUCAUUUACAUGCCAGGAGGGUGGAACACCCCAAUUCCAUGAGGAUAACUGCUCCUGUACUCCAGACCUCACCCCAUGUGUCUCUUCAUCUGGCUGGUUAUUUGUCCUUUAAGAUCUCCUUACUCAACCAGUAAAUGUGUCUUUACAUUGUUUUAGUCUUGAACUAGAAGAUGAAAGCAUCAAAUAAAGAAAUAUACUGUGGGUAUAUGGAUUACAAAAAAAGGAUGGUCAGAGGAGGAUUGGUGAGCACCUGGAAGAUUGACAAGUCACUUCCGGCAGAGCAGGCAGAUGCUGAACAUGAUGUUUCUAAAUGUUCUAGCAUCAAAUGUGAUCAACAUGCCUUCCCCUGUCUCCUUCGUGGUAUUUUUAUAAAGACACAGUGUUUGAAGGACAUUAAUCUAAAUGACGGGUCACAGGAAAUGAAUGUGAUAACAACAGGAAGUGUAUUAUGGAGAUAUGGUUCAAUACAAGCAAGGAUUUAUCAGUGGAU
rnacentral:lncRNA from 1 species